rnacentral:rRNA from 1 species
UUUUUCCUACGGGGGGCAGCAGUGAGGAAUAUUGGUCAGUGGGCGGAAGCCUGAACCAGCCACGUCGCGUGAGGGAAUAAGGCCCUACGGGUCGUAAACCUCUUUUGCCGGGGAGCAAGGGCCGGGACGCGUCCCGGCCCGGAGAGUACCCGGAGAAAAAGCAUCGGCUAACUCCGUGCCAGCAGCCGCGGUAAUACGGAGGAUGCGAGCGUUAUCCGGAUUUACUGGGCGUAAAGGGAGCGCAGGCGGCGCGCCAAGUCUGAUGUGAAACCCCGGGGCUCAACCCCGGGCAUGCAUUGGAAACU